CUACAGCAGUCGUUGCUGCAGUUAACAAGGAACUAAUGCCCAUCCUCAUGGAGAUGUUGUAAAUCUUCAUUCAUCAGUGUGGUUGUAUUGGAUACUAGAUAUUGCUCCAGAAAGAAAGACCUCAUCUUGCUUCCAGCUGCUUGAUCAACUGAAAUGGCUCCCAAUGCAGUUGAAAAAAGCAGAUUGGAUUGACUCAGGGAUGUUGUACUAUCAAAGAAGGAAACAUGUAAGAAGUCUCAUAAAUUGAGAAGCAACGUGGUUGGCCUUGGAGGCAGAAGAUUGGAAGCAGACUAAAGAGAACUAGGAUUCUUGCAAUCCAAAUUGUGAUCAAGAGUUACUGGCACAGUGGAUAGGGGGAAGCAGUAUGCUGAUUUUAGUAAGGCUUUUGACAUUCUACAAGCAAAUUAGGAAAAUGUGGUCUAGAUGAAAUUAC